AAAUCAAUUUAUUUAUUACAUGUCUUGUAAAAAUCAAUAAUAGAUGACAGAUCGAUACAUGUGUAAAUGAAGUUACGGGCCUAAACGCGCGAGUUUUAUGCGUUGGAAAAUUUAGAUCAAUUAUAACUCAAAAACUAUUAUAAAUCGAUUUUUGUAUUAGAAUUUUAUACUCCAUUUUACCUCUAGAAUAAGGUAUUAAAAUAUUGUACCGAGGUUGUGAGACACCCUAUGUAUACAUGCAAGGCCAACGAUGCAAUCCGCGACGAAAGAUUCGUAAGAUUUACUAAAAAGCGAAUGUGAUAAAUCUCGCAAAUCGCGUCGUUAAAUAUUUCAAAUAUGCCGACAUGCCGAUAUUGCUCAUCGAAAUUAUCAACCAUGCAUAUAUAAUGUGAAAGAGACAGAACAGUGUGUGAACAUUUAUAUUUAUUUUAUUAAGUAUAUUUUUCAACACAGUUAGUCUCGUAACUAUAGAUGUUAUCGCUUUUAAUCAUCACAUUGCGAUUUUGUCUCUCCGUGUAUAAAAAUAACUUAUUAUUCCUCUAUACAUAUUACCUUCAUAAUGGUGAUCUACGCAGUAAGUCCGUGAUGCUCAGCAAUCUAUGAUAAUGUAAAAAACUAACGUAUCGAAAUUGUUCAACGGAAAAGAAAAACGGAUAGCUAUUCUAAUACGUUUUGAUGGUGCUCCCUUAUCGUUGCGCGUUAUCAUUUGUUUUGCGCACUUUCCUUUGGACGUAACAACGAAUUAUUGGUGACACAAGUGUUUCUUCUCCGCCGAUAUAUGUACGCUAAUACGGUUUAUUUUUCACGUUCUUAUAUCGGAAGAAACCACAAUUGGCAGAUGUGCACAAGGAACAUAUAAGACGUAGAUCUUUGAAUUGUAUUCCAGAGAAUGUUGUACGAAGAUUUUUUUGGCCCGUGGGGCCUGCUAAUUAUAAUCGUGAUAGGAGUAGGAAUCAUCUUGAUCGCACUGCUCCUAUUCGCUUGUUUCCUCACGCCUGGUUGCAUCGGUUAUGAAUGUUUCAAGAAACAAAGUAAAGAGGAGAAGAAUGUUCAUUUACGUGCAAACAAUCAGGAGAAGAAAAAUUUGAAGCUAAAUGAUAUUAGCUACAGAUCUUGGAGAUUGGGUAGUUUGUACGAAAAUGACAACGGUACUAUCAGCGACAAUGCGGAAUCUCAUAGGGAUUCGUUUAAUUCUGCCAAUGCUCAAUGCGAGAACAUAGAGUAUUCCUCCACGUUGAAUUUGAUUCAGAUAGAUAAGCAGAAGAAUGACAAAAAGGUAAAAGAAUUUCCGACCGAAUUAACAAUGAGCUUGCAAUACCUACCCUGCGAUAAUAUCAUCGGGAAGCUUAUUAUCGGUAUCGAAGCACUGAGCGGCCUUUCUCCAAAGCAAUAUAAUGGUACAUUAGAACCUUAUGUAGCAUUGAAUAUUGUAAAACAAUCAUGGAGUCACAGGAAGCAACAAAAAUUGCACAGUUUCAGAACAAGGGGCAUCAAAAAUACUGCUAAUCCAAUUUACAAGGAAACUUUCGCUAUUGCGAAUGUUAAGCCACAAGAAGCCAAGGAAUGGAUUUUAGAUAUCACUGCAUAUGAUCACAACAGAUACGCAAAUCACACGGAACUGUCUUCGCUUAAAGUAUCGCUAAAAGACAUGAAGCAGAUCUUUUACAGUCCAGAGAUUCAUUUAUUCAAUAAUAGAAUGAAACCAUCUUAUCAGGAGUUUGGCGAUAUUUUAUUAGCCAUAAGCUAUCUGCCCACCGCACAGAGACUGACUAUUAAUAUUAUGAAAUUGCGUAACAUCAAAUUUACACCAGUGAUAUCCAAUUUAAAUAAAUUUAAUCCGUACAUUAAAGUAUUAAUGUUGAACGGAAAGACAGGUAAAAAUAUAAGAAAAAAGAAAACUAAAUGCUUGAACGCUGUAGUGCAGCCUGAAUUUAACGAGACUUUAACGUUUGAUCUGCCAAUCACUCAACUUGAUACGGUCCAGUUUCUAAUCGUGCUUUGCAACAAGGAAAAGUUCCUGGCCUCAAAGUCUUGUAGUGACAUUCUUCGCCCCAUUUCUGUCUUUUCCGUGGAAGAUCAUGACAUUUUUAGAAUUUUUGCACCUAAUUUUGAUCUUCUCAAAACAGACAAUUUGAUGGAGCGGGAUAUGUCACCCUAGUCACUUUAUACAAAGUUGGUUUCACGCUUUAAUAUGCAUUCAGAAAAAUUAUCCACCGACACCCGAAGCAGAGAUUUUAUCGGGAGGAUCACCCACCAAUAUUGUCGAUCAUGCGAGCGAUAGCGAGGAUUCUGUCAGCUCAUUCAGAAACUUUUCCAAUACCUCCAUCGGUAAAGUAGCACUUGGAAAAGGAGUGAGAGGUUCAACAGAAAGG